UACAGAGGAGCCAAGCGUUGUCCGGAUUGACUGGGCGUAAAGCGCACGCAGGCGGUUGCGCGCGUGGGGGGUGAAAUCUGGCCGCUUAACGGCCAGGCGCCAUCCCAUACGGCGCGACUGGAGUGAUGCAGAGGUCGAUGGAAUUGCCGGUGUAGUGGUGAAAUGCGUAGAGAUCGGCAGGAACACCCAGGGGGAAACCAGUCGACUGGGCAUCUACUGACGCUGAGGUGCGAGAGCGUGGGGAGCGAACAGG
rnacentral:rRNA from 1 species